rnacentral:rRNA from 1 species
UACGGAGGGAGCUAGCGUUGUUCGGAAUUACUGGGCGUAAAGCGCACGUAGGCGGCUUUGUAAGUUAGAGGUGAAAGCCCGGGGCUCAACCCCGGAAUUGCCUUUAAGACUGCAUCGCUUGAAUCCGGGAGAGGUGAGUGGAAUUCCGAGUGUAGGUGAAAUUCGUAGAUAUUCGGAAGAACACCAGUGGCGAAGGCGGCUCACUGGACCGGUAUUGACGCUGAGGUGCGAAAGCGUGGGGAGCAAACAGG